CCCCCUGCCCCAAGCCCCCAGCCCUCGCGCGCGCAUCCUCCAAACCACAUCCUCCGCCGAUCCAAUACCCCAUCCUGAUCCAAAGCUCCGCCGCCGCCUUGAUGGCCGUGCGUUGCAACGUAGAGAGGCGCUGCCUCCUCCGUGCCCUUCCCCACCUCCGCCGCCGCCCCAACUCCCCGCCGUCCCCCUUCCCACAUGAAUGAGAGGCACCGCAGACAUAAUCGAUGCCCCGGACGGGUUGACUACGACCUCCGACGCCGUUCCCCGUCGUUGAUGAGCGGGGCACCGGAGGAGGAGGAUGGAAGGUCGAGAGCUCGGAGGCCGGCGUUGUGUACGGCGGCGGCAAGGGAUGGUCCAGCCAGCGGGUCGAGUAGGCGGAAGCGAGGGAUCCGGCGCUGCGCCGCUGCCUUCAUGCCGCCUUCAGAUCAGCGGCCGCACGCCUCCUCCGUUCGCCGCUGCGCGCCUCUGUUCUCCCUCGCUAACCAUGGCGCCUCUCCUCCCCCUCCGACCGAACCGCCUCUGCCCCUUCCUCUGGCCCCCGUCCCAAUCUCUGGCCGCGGCAGCCGCCGCUGGAGAUCCCCUCCAGACCCGGUGCUCUCUCCUCCUCCUGUCCCUUGAUUUCUCGAAUCAUGCUCUGAUUUAGCUGCUCUGCAUUUGAGAUGCUUCAUGUCGCGUGGUAAUUUGGUUGUUUGCUUACAGGAAAAGAAAGCAUUGCCAGAAGGGAAAUUGAAACAAGAGGAGAAGUUCAUGUGGGCAGUAGUCGAUGGCACUAGAGAAAAGGUUGGCACUUUCAGAGUAGAACCACCAGGCUUGUUCAGGGGACGGGGAGAGCAUCCAAAGGUGGGGUUGGAGAAUGUUUGCUACUCCCUCCGACCGAUGGGAAAACUGAAGCAACGUAUAUUACCAAGUGAUAUUUAAAUAAACAUUGGAAGUGGAACUCCAGUCCCAGAGUGUUCAAUGGAAGGAGAAAGAAGGAAAGGUAUUGUUGUCUUCUUCUGAGAGAGCCGAUUAUAGAGACAAGUGUCCGAUGAAAGGCAAGAUCCAUGUGAGAUAUUUGCGAGCAGUAGAUAAUUUGUGAAUACCGUUGCUGUUUGGCGGGGAUGACUUGUUGUCACAGAGGUAUAUUUGGGAUAAACUAUUGCUGUUGGAGGACAGAGACCUGUUUGACUUGCCCUACCUGUCAUCAUGGAGUAGUGUUUGAGGGCCAAGAGUCUUAUGAUGAAGAUCCAUAUAGCAGAUGGUAUGAACUGCAAGAUACUCUAGGUAGCUACUCUAGGUAGCUUUUGCUGCUGUUGUUGCCUUUGGACUGCGGCUUCCUUGUCAUCACAGGUGUUCGAUUUUCAGAAGGAAAUGUAUUGUUGUUUUUUGAAGUAGAAUUUAGAGAAGUUUUGAUGCAUGUCUUUGAGUAUGUCAUUUUAUUUUGUUGUUCCGUUUAACAUCAUCCAUUAUCUGUAGAUUGUGGCUGGACGGGAAGGAGCAGAGGUUCGAUUACUCACAAAGCAACAAAAAAGAAAUAUUACUCCUUAUAUAUCUCUGCAAUUGAAUUAUAUUUGUCCAGUACAUAUUUUACUUUCCUAUGAAUCUGAAGUAAUCUUGUUGUACACCCAUUCCUCUUGUUAGGGAUCAGCUAUCAUAACAUUAGCCAUUAUGCUACUACUAUAUACCCCCUAGCUAAUUCCUUUUUCUAUUUAUUAACAUAGAUCUUAGAAAUACAGAGACAUGCCUGAUGUCAAUUGAGUCCAAUAAAUGAACCGUCAGCCUAACAAGAGGCAGGAAAGAGUGUUGCACAAAAAUCAUGUGCCUACAUUUUUCCUUAAGUUAUACUUUGUCGUUGUUUUAGUUCAAAUUUGCACUAAAACAACGACAACAAUUUAGGAUUGGAGGUUUUGCAGAAAUAGCAAAUAUGGGGUGUGUAUUAGUUUUGAGGUCUUGUACUAAGGUGAAUUAAACUCUGAAUACGGCUAUGGUUUGUCAAUUUUUUAUCCUUCCAUAGAAACUUGUCAUGGAACACUUGAAUUUUGACUUGUUAAUCCAAUGCACCCCAUAUAAAUAAUGGUUCCAUAGAAACUUGUUUGUAUAUAGGGUUUAAUUUGUUCAAUUGUUUUGAACCUAAAUAAUUUGUGAAUACCGUUCCAACGCACGGGCACUUAGCUUGUGCAGUCAGGGUGGUUUGAAGGGCAUCAGGAGAGAGGUCAUAUCAUAUUUUCUAUCAACUGUGCUCUGGAGCUUCUCCUCUUCACAGAAGUAAUCACACCGCCAUAUUGAUGUUCUUGUUGUUGCAAUUGGAGUUAUAUUAAGGGUCCUCCUGUUAAGGAACACAUGUAUCCCGCAUUUCUUUGUAUCUCCUCUGUGCCAUUUUUCUAAUCUGUUAUAUGCAUGUGCUGUUGCAGAAAAAAUAUUUCUGAGAGACGCCGAUUAUUACAAUUACUUGAAUACGCCUAUUUACACUAGAUACAGUCAAUACGCCUAUUUACAAAAGUUCACUGGUUGAUUUCGUCCAACAGGCUAUUCGAGACGGAGCUAGGAAAGGAUAAAUGGGCGAGCAGUUUAGAGAUCAUUGGAGCUAGGUAACUGAAUUGGAAGUAACAGAUCUGUCUUGCUUGUAAUGUUCAAGUGUGUGAAACUGAAGUACUUGUAUUUUGACAAUAAGUACUUCCAUUUUGACGAUAUGGAACAUUGUCGAAACUUCAAUUUUGUUUUAUCAGUUAAAUUUUGCUUCAUAUC